rnacentral:ncRNA from 1 species
CGGUAACACGUACUGGAGGACCGAACCCACUAACGUUGAAAAGUUAGGGGAUGAGCUGUGGAUAGGGGUGAAAGGCUAAACAAACUUGGAAAUAGCUGGUUCUCUCCGAAAACUAUUUAGGUAGUGCCUCGUGUAUCACCUUCGAGGGUAGAGCACUGUCAUGGUUGUGGGGUCCAUUGCGGAUUACUACGCCAUAGCAAACUCCGAAUACCGAAGAGUGCAAUCACGGGAGACAGACAUCGGGUGCUAACGUCCGGUGUCAAGAGGGAAACAACCCAGACUGCCAGCUAAGGUCCCUAAAUAUGGCUAAGUGGGAAACGAAGUGGGAAGGCUAAAACAGUCAGGAGGUUGGCUUAGAAGCAGCCACCCUUUAAAGAAAGCGUAAUAGCUCACUGAUCGAGUCGUCCUGCGCGGAAGAUGUAACGGGGCUCAAGCUAUAUACCGAAGCUGCGGAUGCACGUUGAAAGACACGUGUGUGGUAGGAGAGCGUUCCGUAAGCCUGCGAAGGUGCGUUGAAAAGCGUGCUGGAGGUAUCGGAAGUGCGAAUGCUGACAUGAGUAGCGAUAAAGGGGGUGAAAAGCCCCCUCGCCGUAAGCCCAAGGUUUCCUACGCAACGUUCAUCGGCGUAGGGUGAGUCGGCCCCUAAGGCGAGGCAGAAAUGCGUAGCUGAUGGGAAGCAGGUCAAUAUUCCUGCACCAUUGUUAGAUGCGAUGGGGGGACGGAUCGCGGAAGGUUGUCCGGGUGUUGGACGUCCCGGUCGCUGCAUUGGAGAAGGUGCUCAGGCAAAUCCGGGCACAGGAUUCAAGGGCGUGGCGCGAGCUUCUUCGGAAGCGAAGCAAUUGGAAGUGGUUCCAAGAAAAGCCCCUAAGCUUCAGUCUAACAAUGACCGUACCGCAAACCGACACAGGUGGGCGAGAUGAGUAUUCUAAGGCGCUUGAGAGAACUCGGGAGAAGGAACUCGGCAAAUUGGUACCGUAACUUCGGGAUAAGGUACGCCUAUGUAGCUUGACUGGCCUGCGCCAGAAGGGUGAAGAGGUUGCAAUAAACUGGUGGCUGCGACUGUUUAAUAAAAACACAGCACUCUGCAAACACGCAAGUGGACGUAUAGGGUGUGACGCCUGCCCGGUGCCGGAAGAUUAAAUGAUGGGGUGCAAGCUCUUGAUUGAAGUC